UAGUCUAAGUGAACUAAAGGCAAUUAUAUAUGGAUCUCUUACAAGUCAUAUAACCUCAAUCCUUUGCAUUAAGAUUGAAGAGGUAAGACUUGAGAUCAGACCUUUUAUAUUGGCCCGUGCUUGUGUUUGCUUAGAAAAUUAACUGCUGCCUCAGUUACAAGAUCAAAAUCGUUAUACCUCAGAGAGGCUCCACAGCUUCAUAAGAGCUCCAUCAUGUCAAACCAAGGGGUGCAGUUGCAUAUCCAAGAACGUCAUGUGGUGAUGGAUAAUGGCAUACUCCAAGUCACGUUAUCCAAACCAGAGGGAAUUGUCACUGGAAUACAAUAUAAUGGCAUCAGCAAUUUACUUGAAGUUCUCAAUGAUGAAUCCAAUAGAGGAUAUUGGGAUCUUGUAUGGAGUAAAGAAGGAAGCACAGGAACCACAGGAACAUCCGAUGCGAUUAAAGGAGAAAGUUUUAGAGUGGUGGUAGAAAAUGAGGAACAAGUAGAAAUCUCAUUCACUAGAAUGUGGGAUCCUUCACUAGAGGGCAAGCUUGCUCCCCUGAACAUAGACAAGAGGUUUAUUAUGCUUCGUAAUUCCUCUGGCUUCUACUCCUAUGCCAUUUAUGAGCACUUCAAGGAAUGGCCCGCUUUCAACCUUCCCCAGACCAGGAUUGUAUUCAAGCUUAGGAAGGACAAGUUUCACUACAUGGCAGUGGCCGAUAACAGGCAAAGAUGCAUGCCAUUACCAGAGGACCGGUUACCAAAAAGAGGCGAACCCCUUGCUUACCCUGAAGCCGUCCUACUUGUCAAUCCUGUGGAGGCUGAAUUCAAAGGAGAGGUGGAUGAUAAAUACCAAUACUCAUGCGAAAAUAAAGAUCUUCAGGUUCAUGGAUGGAUAUGCUUCAACCCCCCCGUUGGAUUCUGGCAAAUCACACCCAGCAAUGAGUUCCGAUCUGGAGGACCUCUAAAGCAAAACCUUAGCUCUCAUGUUGGUCCCAUCAGUCUUGCUAUGUUUCUUAGUGCCCAUUAUUCAGGGGAGGAUAUGGUGCUGAAACUAAAACCGGGUGAGCCAUGGAAGAAAGUUUUUGGCCCUGUUUUUAUCUAUCUCAAUACUUUGUUGGAUGAUCAAAAUGAACCACGUUGGCUAUGGGAGGAUGCCAAGAAACAGAUGUUAAUUGAAGUUCAGAAUUGGCCCUACAGUUUCCCAGCUUCAGAGGAUUUUCCAUCAUCAGAACAACGUGGUUGCGUCAAUGGUCGAUUGCAAGUUCAAGACAGGUUUAUUAGUGAUUACUGUAUACCAGGCAAUGGUGCCUGUGUGGGGUUGGCACCUCCAGGAGAUAUUGGAUCAUGGCAAAGAGAAUGCAAGGGCUAUCAGUUCUGGACUAAGGCAGAUCCAGAAGGAUAUUUUUCCAUUAACGAUAUAAGAACUGGUGACUAUAAUCUUUAUGCAUGGAUUCCUGGUUUUAUUGGAGAUUACCGAAAUGAUGAAGUUAUUACCAUAACACCAGGUUGUGAUCUGGACUUGGGUGAUGUUAUAUACAAGCCCCCGAGAGAUGGCCCUACAUUGUGGGAAAUAGGCAUACCGAACCGUUCUGCCGCAGAAUUCUACGUUCCUGACCCCGAUCCUAAGUAUAUCAAUGAACUUUAUGUCAAUCACCCUGACAGGUUCAGGCAGUACGGAUUAUGGGAAAGGUAUGCAGAUUUAUACCCUGAUGAAGAUUUGGUUUACACGGUUGGUACAAGUGACUACGCAAAAGAUUGGUUCUUCGCUCAAGUUACAAGGAAGAAAGAUGACAAUUCAUAUCAAGGAACUACAUGGCAGAUCAAGUUCAAACUUGACAAUGUACAAAACAGUGGAUCAUACAAACUACGAUUAGCACUUGCAACUGCAAAUGUUGCUGAAUUGCAGGUAUGCUGUGGAUUGAUUGUCAAUUUGCCAGAUCUGCAGAUAGUUGCUGUUGCCUCAUAAACACGGUUACCUUCUAUGGCUCCAAUAAUCAAUUGUGCUGCCUUUUAACACCACACACACACACAUUAUAAAAUGUACUUCUUCCCCCUGGCAGCAGUUAGUGAAUACUAUUGGAGUACCGGGAGACGAGGAGGUAAAUGGAGUUGAGUUCCUUUCAAAGUUCACAAAACUAUAAUAUACGUAAAUUCUUAACUUCCUUUCUCUGUAAUUCCAACUUUCGUCCUUCCUCUUUCUGGAUAAUAUCAAUGGAGAUGCACUCUUGAUUUUCAAUUAGUUCCAAUAAGUUGUCAACAAGCAAUCAUAGAAUACUGGCAGAAGCUAGACCGUAAACAGUUGCGAUUUCUCUCAGGAAAAUGAAUAGAUGCUUGCUAGCUUAUGCUCAAGAAUGACAUUGGUUUAGGCCAACCAGAAACUACAUGACAAACAUCCCUAGUGGGAACUGCUGGAUCAGAUAUUUUUCUAGAGGAAGAGAUUCUGUUAGAAAGAAAGAAAAAUGUACAAGGUGGAGAUCAGGAAUCCUCCAGAUUAAAGACAGAGAAGAUUAAACAGAAGCAUAGUAUGACUAAUUCAAGAGUGCUUCUUUGAUAUCUCUAAUAAAUAAACUCUCAGCCACCAUCACACUUUAGCUUUAUUGUUUUGUAUCCACUAACUGGGUCAGUGCCCUUUUCAAUAUUCAAGCUAAGCCCUUCACUUUAAAUUUUCUCCCCAACUACAAAAUGUUCAGUGAAGUAGGUGGCAUCAGCAUACUUUGCUGAAGUGAGACAUACUAUGUCAUUGCUCCCUGUUAAUGCAAGAAGUAUUUGGUUUUGCUCUCUGUUUCUCAGUUUUGAUGCCCUAAUUUAUCUUUCAGGAUAUUGCAAAAAGCAUUUCAAGCUUUUAAAAACUUUCUUUGGGUGGAAAUGUUACUAAACUGCAAGCAAUACGAGAUGCUAUUCAACAAAUCUGUGCACUUUGUCUUUGGUACUAUUUUUUUUAUGAUUUGACCGAUUACUCAUACGUACGUGUGCUUAUUUCCUAUAAAAUGGUUUCUGUCAGUAAUGGUUAUCGUUGAAUGAUGCCACAGACUUCUGACUUAUGAACACCUGAUAAUCAGUUAUCUAGCUAACUGCAGGUUACAACCUAUUGCCUUGAUAUCACAUGCUUUAUUUAUUCAUCUCCUAACAAGUGUCACUCUUAAUAUCAAUUACUCCUUGUGGAAGUUCAGUUGAUUUAAUGAUUACAGAAAUUUUGUCUUCCUUUGAAAGAAAAAACUCUUCGAGGUGUCUUAACGGGUGUGUGUUAUCAAAAUUUCUAUUUUCAUUAGGAAUUUGUUAUAUUUUGAAAUUCUUGGUAGAUUUAUGAACUUAAAAGCAACAUGAGAAAUUAAGAGUAUCCUGGCCUGGUGAUGAAAGCGAUAAAAGGUGGACUUGUGCUUGGCAAGCUAUAAAGAUGGUAUCUUUUCCUAGAACUCCUGCUGUAUCAUGUGGUUCGUUUUUGAGGGUCACAAUUCAUUAUUUUUUUGGGUGGACAGCAUGGCUAAUUUCCCAUUUUCUGAUCUAUUUUGGAGCGACAGUGUCAUUCCUUAGGCCCCGCAAAUAUAAUUUUUUUCUCUUGUAUUUGGUAUAAAUUCUUGUGUGUGCAUGCCAGUGUGUGUGACAUAUAUGAGAGGUUAUGGGCUAAUGCAUAGAGGAGCUCAAAUCUUCCUCUGUGAAUUCUCAAAACAACAGAACUCAACAUGAAUUUCAUAAGGUUAGAGCAUUACUGAAGUUUUUUGGAUUGGCAUAAUCUGCUACAGUGAUUUUCAGGUGAAAAAAGAAAAGCGAUUCCAUUUACAGGGGAUAUAAUUGUUUUUAUUUCUCCACAGGUUUGGGCUUCAAAAUGGAAUGGAAUGAAAUAGCAUAUGUUAGUUGUAGGAAAGCCAACUUGAAUCAUGAGAAUCUAUGCAUGGCUGUAUUGAUCCAAGAAGUCGUUUGCGGUGAUUAUGCUUUUGUAAUUCAAACAAAGAAUCCCUUAUCGGGUAUACCUGUGAGAUACAAGCCUUUUUCUUUCUGUUUUAAGUACAGGGUCGGGUAUCUCAUCUGAUUCUGUCAAUCCAAACAAAGAUUGUGAAGGGCUUGGGAGAGACUUUGGUGGGGGCAUAUCCUGGACGAGCCAUGAGCUUCUUUGCCAAAAAAAUGCAAUUUGAAGUUUCCCUUUGUGAUUCCAUAUCCUCUUUAUAUGCCUUCACUAUAUGCUCCUUUUUCCUCGAUAUGAAGGCUAGGUUAUCUUUAUCGGUUUUUAGUUAACAUGUCAGCUUACUAAAUUUAGGUGAUUAAAGAAAAUCGUAUACACAUGUUACCUUCUAAACUCAAAUAUGAAUCUGGUUUCCAGGUACUGGUUAUCUGAGUAAGAAUAUAGGCCUAUAUAGCAAGCCUUCCAUAAUAUUCAGGUCGGACUCAAAUGGUGAAGAUCCGGAAGGAUAUGAUGCUGGUGCUGGGCUUUAUGACAGUGCUCUCACUGAUAAAGAGGAGAAGAUUGUCUUAGACAACUCCAGUGAUCGGAAAAACCACAGAAAAUCUUUACGGUCGCCCCCAUGAUAUUGAAUGAGUGGUAAAAGAUGGAGCAGUAUACGUGGUUUAGGCAGGACCACGAAUCCAAUACUAGUAGGCACAGAUAUUUGGUUUAGAGCACAGCGACCUAAUAUAUGAAAACGGUGCCUGUGUCUUCUUUCUUUCCUUAGGAUGAAUGGCAUGUUUUUGAUUCACUGAACAAUUCCUUCCAGUGUAUUUCAAGGAAAUGUGUGCAUUAUCAACA